rnacentral:rRNA from 1 species
CACAGCUGAGCCUCGCCUCGCCUCUCCAGUCUCCACCGUCCGUCCAUGGCUUCUCGAGCCCUCGCCGCGCUGUCCAUCCAGCCGCGCCUCGGCGGGGGCGCGUCGGCGCUCGGACGGCCCGCCGUCCGCGUCCGCGCCAGGCCGCCGCGGCGGCGCCGGCCCAUGGUGGUGCGGGCGGGCGGGCCGCCGAGCACCAACGUGCUCAUCCUCGCCUUCGUGCUCCCGCUCUCGCUCUUCGUCGGCACCCUCGUCGCCGCCGCCCGCGUCGCCGACGACCUCGACGAGCGGUUCCUCCGGGAGAUGGAGAUCAACAAGGCGAUACUGGAGGAGAACGAGGCUUCCUCCGAGGAGGCGGCAGACGGCGGCGGAGAGUACGUCGUCAACGGAGACGAGGCCGCGUUGCCGGCGGCGGAGAAGGAGCAGGUCCUUGUCACAGCUACUGGCACUGGCACGCGCGCCAGGAACAGGCCGAAAAGGGAAGUGUAUUAGCUACUAGCUAGAUUUGCACGGAGGGAAAUGCUUUGCUACCUUUGAGAUGUGUCCGUCAAUCAGCUUGUAAAUCUUUUGCAAAUGUUUCAGUGUGAUUGAUAGCAUAUGCAAGUUAAUGCGCGAUCAAAUAUAUAUACCCCAGGCAACUGAAGAACGAAGUUGUGCAACGGUGAAAUUUGUGGCUUUUAAGACAGUACUCUAAAGAGGUACUGAGAUGCUAGGCAAAGCAAAUCAAAGCUUUAUGCCAUCAUACAUUUCAGACAACAACCAGGAAGAAGCAAAAUAAACAGACAUUUAUUC